CGCCCCCGCGUGCCAUAGAACAUACAAAAAAUGGAGGCGACCCGGACCAGACUCUCGGCCCUGCGGCCCCUUACCUGGGGUUGGUGAGGUCUGCAGGUCCGGAGCGGACGAUUCGCGGACUCUGGUCAGUCGACGCGAACAGGCUCCGGCGGGCGCCGACGGAGGAGGGAGGCCUAGAGGGAGCGGCUGACAGAUCCCGGAAGUGACCGGGGCGCCUGCGCAGAGCGGCCGCUCUCGGCUUGGCGGGCGCAGGCGCAGAACGUAGCCUUCUUUGGGACGCUCUUGUCUGAAUAGCUGCAGUUGCUCAGCUACAGAUUCUGUCAUGGGGGAGCAAGGGAAUGGAGUGGGAAGAUAACUGUAAAUUAAAUAUCCUUCCUAAGAGACAACUGGACAGAGGAAAAUUAGCAUUCAUGGAAAGCAAGGAUUCCUUAUGCGUUGUAGGCUUUAAGAGAAAACUGGUCAGAUGAAUAUUAUUGCUUCCUACUUUUCAACUGGCAAAUAACUGCUAUUGAUAAAACAGACAAGCCCAGAGAAUCUGUCCAGAAUGUCUGUUCAAGAUAUGCCUGUUCUUGGGGAGAACACCUAGGACAUAAUUACGUGUAUACCUUGAUCUCAUCAUACAAGACAAGCACAAAGGCACCACCCAUGCCUCUGAGAACACUGGACCACACACCCUUGAAAAAAAGCCUUGCUUCCUUCAUCUUGAGUGAUCUUCCACCAGCAGUCAAGCGUGUCUGUAUAUGUGAUAUCAGCUCCUUUUUGUCCUGACUGCAUCAUCAUACGACGGAGAACCGUGUCAAAAGGAUAGGAAGUCAGGCCAGCGACAGCAGUGACAGACUGUGCAAUCAUCCAGCUGAUGAAGAUGUGAGUAUUCUUGGGAUCUGGGAGCAUUCCCUUUGCAGUGUCAUAGAUACCAGAGGAGGAAGCUCGGUAGAUGAUAAUGCCCUGUACUAACACAUUAAAGCCUUGGUACAGGCCCUUAAUCCCA